CCUUUAUUCUUUGACUAACUAAGUAUUUUUAUUUAAAAAAAUAUUGAAUAAUUGUUCAUCAAACUACUCAUGUUCCAAUGAUAAACGAGGGGGAAAAGUGAGCUGACUUUAUAUCUGGAGAGAACAUUAAAGUAGAAAGUUUAAACAUGAGUGUGGAUCUACUUAUAGAUCAAGCAUCAUCCAGUAAAAUGUUCUCUGUAUUGCAAUAAAUUUUGUAAGAGAGAAAAGGGAUCAUAUUCAGCAAAUAUAAGUCUAAUAAUAGAUGGUUCCAAACGAUUUUCUGGCUAAUCUUCAGUUCCUCGGCAAUAGAACUGAUAAGGUUGAUAAGACACAAACUAUUAAUAACAAGGAAUCCAGGAACGACCGAGAGAAACAAGGAGAAGGCGUGGAGGAAUACUACAACGUUAGAAUUAAUAAGAACACAUUAAAUAUAUUAUCUUAGUACAUAAUAUAAACUAAUACUCUAAUAACGAUAUAAGGUGACUGGCUUUUUAUACUCUUAAGAUCAAACAUAGUACUUCAAGCAUGAUAAUGAAAAUAAUAAGACGAGGGGAGAAGAGGAGAGUAUUUUUGACGUGCAUUUUACUAGAACGGAAUAGUUGGAACAUCCACUUUGCUGUUGGAUAUGAUACUGUAUUGGGUCUAUAUUAUGGACCCAAUACAAAAAAAAAGAGUGCUAUUUAUAGACUCUAUAAACAGCACAAUUUAUUUAGCAGCUAGUCCCAACUUUUUACCAUAGUUGUAGUCAGACCAACGGAUGUAUAGAAGUUUCUCUUUUUUUUACUUCCAUUUUGGACCGCUUUAACACACAACUGGCUUCACCAAACACAAGAAUGUAAAUGAACUUUUUAAGGGUACGCCUAACUUUUAAUUAUACCUUAUGUUUCUUUUUUUAUAUGCUAUGUAUAUUGAUCGAGAGAUGUGGCUCACUAAAGAAAUCUAGCGACAAACGCUCAGAACUUUUUACUUAAGCUGUGCUAUUUAAUAAAAUCGUUUCUAUUAA
rnacentral:lncRNA from 1 species